rnacentral:rRNA from 1 species
GACGAACGCUGGCGGCGUGCUUAACACAUGCAAGUCGAACGAUGAAGGAGAGCUUGCUCUCCGGAUUAGUGGCGAACGGGUGAGUAACACGUGACUAACCUGCCCCUUUCUCUGGGAUAACGCUCCGAAAGGCGUGCUAAUACCGGAUACGAACUCUGAACACAUGUUCGGAGUUGGAAAGUUUUUCGGAAAGGGAUGGAGUCGCGGCCUAUCAGCUGGUUGGUGAGGUAAUGGCUCACCAAGGCGACGACGGGUAGCCGGACUGAGAGGGCGACCGGCCACACUGGGACCGAGACACGGCCCAGACUCCUACGGGAGGCAGCAGUGGGGAAUAUUGCACAAUGGGCGAAAGCCUGAUGCAGCGACGCCGCGUGGGGGAUGAAGGUCUUCGGAUUGUAAACCUCUUUCAGUAGGGACGAAGCGAAAGUGACGGUACCUAAAGAAGAAGCACCGGCUAACUACGUGCCAGCCGCCGCAGUAA